rnacentral:rRNA from 1 species
ACGAAGGGUGCAAGCGUUAAUCGGAAUUACUGGGCGUAAAGGGUGCGUAGGCGGUUCGUUAAGUCUGUUGUGAAAUCCCCGGGCUCAACCUGGGAAUGGCAAUGGAUACUGGCGAGCUAGAGUGUGUCAGAGGAUGGUGGAAUUCCCGGUGUAGCGGUGAAAUGCGUAGAUAUGUGGAGGAAUACCGAUGGCGAAGGCAGCCCCCUGGGAUAACACUGACGCUCAUGCACGAAAGCGUGGGGAGCAAACAGGA